AAGACUUCUUUCAAGGACCAUGUCUGUAUUUUGUGACUAGGGAAGUUUCUUUGAGUGUGUAGAGCUGCAGAAACCAUGAGAAGGAGGGGUAGUGUUUCCUCCUGAGUGUGAAGCAGGCGCUUCUUGUUGCUCCGCUGCAACUACAUCUGCCGUAGAUGAUUUUCUCCUCCGUUAGUAGAGUAAGAGGGAGAGAACGCCGACUGAGCGCU
ensembl:snoRNA U3 Small nucleolar RNA U3